CCUACGGGAGGCAGCAGUGGGGAAUAUUGGACAAUGGGGGCAACCCUGAUCCAGCCAUGCCGCGUUGUGUGAAGAAGGCUUUCGGGUUGUAAAACUCUUUUCUUAGGGAAGAAUAAAUGACGGUACCUAAGGAAUCAGCCCCGGCUAACUACGUGCCAGCAGCCGCGGUAAUAAUCA
rnacentral:rRNA from 1 species